rnacentral:rRNA from 1 species
GAGUUUGAUUAUGGCUCAGGAUGAACGCUGGCGGCGUGCCUAAUACAUGCAAGUCGAGCGAGAAUCUGAACGACGGAGACUUCGGUCAAAGGAAUUCAGAGGAAAGCGGCGGACGGGUGAGUAACGCGUGGGCAACCUGCCCCAUACAGAGGGAUAGCAGUUGGAAACGACUAUUAAUACCUCAUACUCCGGUUUUAUCGCAUGAUAGAACCGGGAAAGAUUUAUCGGUAUGGGAUGGGCCCGCGUCUGAUUAGCUAGUUGGUGAGGUAACGGCUCACCAAGGCGACGAUCAGUAGCCAACCUUAGAGGGUGAUUGGCCACACUGGAACUGAGACACGGUCCAGACUCCUACGGGAGGCAGCAGUAGGGAAUAUUGGGCAAUGGGGGCAACCCUGACCCAGCAACGCCGCGUGAACGAUGAAAAUCUUCGGAUUGUAAAGUUCUUUUCUUGAGGAAGA